UUGUACAUAUCCCCUAUUCAAAAUAAAUGUAAUUUUAAAAAUAAACUCUAAAAAACCCAUGCAUGGAUAGGAAACGGCCUCUUCCAAAAAAAGUAGUAGCAGAAUAAGGAUAGGUUGUCAUAAUAGUAGGGAGGAUGGAUAUUUUUUCAGGAAAAGUCGUUGCCAACAAAUGCACUGACUUAUAUAAAGCAGAAGCAGACUCACAGACAUAGGAAAAAAAAAAACAAAUUUUUGGUUACUAAAGGGGUUAGCAGAAGGGGGUGGGAGGAGAUAAAUUAGGAUUUUGGAAUUAACAUAUGCACAUUGCUAUAUAUAAAGUAGGUAAACAACAGGAUUUACUGUAUAGCACAGCGAACUAUAUUAAAUACCUUGUAAUAUCCUAUAAAGGAAAAUAAUCUGAAAAAGUGUUAUGUGUUUGUAUAUAUAUACACAUGUAUGUGUAGAUAUACAUAUAUACACACAUAUACAUAUAUAUACACACAAAUUACAUAUAUACACAUAUGAAUACAUCAUGGCUAGUAUGUGCUUCAUUGUCUUUCUUCUACCUGCUUCUGAGAAACAGUGAUAUUGUCUUCAAUAGAUUAUUACAGACUCUAAUAUGAAACAGAAUGUAGGAGUUCCUGUUGUGGCGCAGCAGAAACAAAUCCAACUAGGAACCAUGAGAUUGCAUGUUCAAUCCCUGGCCUCGCUCAGUGGCUUAAGGGUCUGGCAUUUCCACGAGCUGUGGUGUAGGUCGCAGAUGUAGCUCGGAUCCCCCAGUUCCUGCUAGGGGUCUAAUCGGAGCUGUAGCCUACGCCAGAGCCACAGCAACUCAGGAUCUGAGCCACAUCUGCAACCUAUACCGCAGCUCAUGGCAACCCCGGAUCCUUAACCCACUGAGCGAGGCCAGGGACUGAACCCGCAACCUCAUUGUUCCUAGUCAGAUUCAUUAAUCACUGAGCCACGAUGGGAACUCCAAAAGACAUUUCUAAAGAAGAAAUGAAUCCCUAAAACCACACACAGAAAAAGACUGACAAAUUUGACUACAUAUGUUUAAAACUCUAUCUACAUGGAGAAAAGAAUAUGCUAUAGCUGAACUUCCUUAAUUCCUCAAUGUCUACAAAUAAAGAAAACCAACAACCAAAAGAAAAAUGAGCUGAGAAUGUUAACAGUAAUUUCAAAAAAGAAGAAAUGGAUGUCUAGCAUUCAACAAAAUCGUCAGUCGUACUCAUAAGUAAAGAUACAGAAAUUUUCAAAAAUGAGAUUUCAUUUUUCACUUAACAGCUUCACAAAUAUGUAAAACUUGAUAAUACUGGAGAAACAGAUACUCAUGCUAUUUCUGGGAAUGUAAAUUGGUUCAGCCUUUUUGGCAGUAGAAAUAAAAAUUUAUAGCAUAGCUGCUUUUGCCAGUCUUCCCGUAUGAAGUCAUUCAAUAGUCAUGCCCACACCUUUGUGCAGUGACUUGUGAAUAGCAAAAACUAGACAUAAGCAAAUUGUUCAUUGGUAGAAAACCUGUUAAACUCAGGUACAGCUUGCUAUAAAAAAAAGUUUCCUAUCUAUAAGUCAUGAUAAGGACUGAUUUACAAGCUGUCUUAAGUUAAAAAAAUGAAUGUUCACGCAGUGUAUGUAUACAGAUAGUUUGCUCCAGCUUUUACAAAGUGUGUACUGCAGUAAGAAUGAGUAUGUGCCUAUACAUUGCCUGAUUUGACCUCAGCCUAGGACAUUGUCUUUUUUUUUUUUCUCUCUCUCUCUUUUUAGGGCCACACUCAACAUCACAUGGAAGUUCCAGGUUAGGGGUGGAAUUGGAGCUGCAGCUGCCAGCCUAUACACCACAACCACAGCCACACGGGAUCCGAGCCGCAUCUGUGACCUCCACCACAGCUCACAGCAAUGCCAAAUCCUUAACCUGUGAGUGAGGCCAGGGAUUGAACCCACAUUCCCAUGGAUACUAGUCAGGUUCUUAACCCACUGCUCCACAGUGGGAACUCCCAAGGACUAGAUCAAUACGGGGAUGGAAGGCUAGAUAUGAAUGCACUUAUAAUCACAUAUUCUUGGAAACAGUAGUCAAGAUGAAGGGCUCAGAGCUUUAUUAUGGUCACAAGAAAGGAGCUCUGGGAGUAGGAGUCCAGCAAGGAGGGGAGGUGUAAUCACAUCACUGUGCCUUAGUGUAAUGGGUAUUCAGUGUAUCCUGGUGGUACAUGAAACUCCACAAAUGUCCCUCAUUCUGGAACAGAAGCUGCUGGUUUUCUGUGAAAUAAACAAAUAGCAGAUAUUUUGCUAGACACUGGAAUACGGAGGACAAAAAAGAAGAAAUGCUGUCUGUAAGCUAGCAGAAACAUUUUAAACAGGUUAAAUAAAUUUAAAAUUGCAUGGAGUUCCCAUCGUGGCGCAGCAGGAACAAAUCUCACAAGGAACCAUGAGGUUUCAGGUUCCAUCCCUGGCCUCACUCAGUGGGUUAAGGAUCUGGCGUUGCCAUGAGCUCUGGUGUAGGUUGUAGAGAUGGCUCGGAUCUGGCAUUGCUAUGGCUCUGGCAUAGGCCGGCAGCUACAGCUCCGAUUAGACCCCUAGCCUGGGAACCUCCAUAUGCCUCAAGUGUGGCCCUAAAUAGAUGAAAGACACACACACACACACACAAAUUAAAUAGCAGAAUACUAUAUAAUAAUAUUUAUGGAUCUGUUGAAUUCAAACAUCUUGUGAUAAUCUAACCCCUGGAGUCUAAAUUUGUCAUAAAGGCCUAGGUAGUAAUUUUCACUUAUAUGCUUAUAUUUGAUCUUCACAAUUAACAUUUAAGGGAGUCUUUUACUCCUGUUUUACAGCUGGGCUUCAGGGAGGUGAGGCUCUCCCUUUAUUUUUUAUAAUAAAUUUUAUUGGAGUAUAGUUAACUUCAAAAUUUGUUAGUUUCAGGUGUACACAUAGUAAAUUAGUUAUACAUAUAUAUAUAUUUCCAUUCCUUUUCAGAUUAUUUUCCCAUGUAGGUUCUCACACAGUAUUGAAUAACUUUAGUACUGUGCUAUGCAAUAGGUCCUUGCUAAAUGUCUUUUUUUUUAAUAGAUAGUAGUGUGUAUAUGUCAGUCCCAACCCUAAUUUAUCCCUGCCCCCCCCCCAUUUCCCUUUUGGUAACCCUAAAUUUGGUUUCAAAAAUAUUUGAUUCUCUUUCUAUUCUGUAAGUUCUUUUGUAUCAUUUGUAUUAGAUUCCACAUAUUAAUGAUCUCAUAGGAUAUUUUAAAGAACCUAGACAUGCUACCCAAUAUUCUGUGAUAAUCUAUGUGGGAAAAGAAUCAAAAGAGAAUGGAUGGAUGUACAUGUACAACAAAAUCACUUUGUUGUGCAACAGAAAGUAUCACAACAUUGUAAAUCAGCUUUCAAUAAGACUUUAAAAAAGGAAAAAAGGAAGUAGUCUCAGAUCUGAGAGGAAAUAUAGGUGUGAAAGGGAAACAUGGUGUAGAAAAUUAAGAAAAGGUUGAAUCCAGUUAUGAAGGCUGCUUUUUAGAUAUCUCAACCAUUCCAGAAAAAAAAAUUAUCAUCUUGCCCCAGACAUACUCAGUUCUGUAUUCACUUUCUCAACAGUUUUUUCAGCACUUCCUGUGAACCCAAAUCAUGGUUCUAGAUGAUGGGGACAAGGUGGUGAACUCAAUAGACCUGUAUGUCUUCUCUCAUGGGACAUUCUAGAUGGGAAGAUAGAGAUAAGAGCACAACAAAAGAGUAAUAUUCUCAAAGAGAAAGUAAAGGAUAAGAGUAAUGAUACAGAAGUUUCCAUUGUGGCUCAACAGUAAACAAGCUGGACUAGUAUCCACGAGGACCAGGGUUCAAUCCCUGGCCUCAUUCAGUGGGUUAAGGGUCUGGCAUUGCUGUGAGCUGUUGAAGACACGGCUCAGAUCCUGUUUUGCUAUGGCUGUGGUGCAGGCCAAUGGCUGCAGCUCCAAUUUUGCCCCUGGCCUAGGAACCUCCACAUGCCGUGGGUGAGAUCCUAAAAGACAGAAAAAAAAAAAGAGUAAUGAAUACACAAGCAAUAUUAGUUAAGGUUUUGGUAAGUAUUUAGAAAACAUGUAAGCCAAGGUAAGACGAGAGAGAUUAAUGUCAAGGAGGAAGAUAGGGAAAGGAUUCUUUUAAUAGACUUAGAUAAAAACUGCUGAAGGAGACUCAUUUGAGCACAGAUCUGAAUAAAGUGAGAGAGAAUCAUGGGAAGAUCUGAGAGAAAAGAGUACUGAGUAGUUCAAAGAUCAAGGGCAAAGGCAGUGAGAUGGUCCUGAGCUUGCCUUCUGGAAAUAGCAGCAAUUGCUCCAGCAUGGCAAGGGGAAGGCAGGCAGGGGAGAAAGUGCAAGGAAGUGAGGUCAGGGAAGUGCGCAGAGGCCAGAUUACACAGGCACUUGGAGGGCAUGAUAGGGAGCUUGGCCUUUAUCCAUCUGGCAGCCUGAAGCAGAGCAGAGAUAGGUUCUGAUUUAUUUUUAGAAAAGAUGACUCUGCAGUGGAGAGAAGAAAUACCCAAGAGUGAAAUCAGGAAGCUGAGGAGACCAUCCCCAUGUGACAAGUGACGUGAUGGGGGCUCUAAGGAAGGUGGAGGCAGGAGAGGUGAAGACAAGUGGCUGGGUAUCGGAGGGAGAAUCUACAGAAUUAUUGAUGGAUUGGCUCUGCAGCGAAAGAUGAAUGGCAAAUAGUGUAAGGUUGAUUUAGGUUUGGGGGCUGAUGAGUUGAGUGGUACCAUUCAUAGAAGUGGAGAAGACUAAAUCAUAUACUUGUCUAAACCCUUGCUGAUUUCACAUCACCUGCAGACUCCUUAGCCUGGCCUCUAAGCUCCUCCCAUGAUCGAGUCCAGUCUGCCUUUCCAGACUCAUCUCCAGAGCCCCUGUUCUCAUCCUUUUUCUUUAGCAACCCCUUUGCUCUCCUUCACGCCAUGCCUGUGUCUCACUCAUCUUUACCUCUCACUACAGACUCCUCAGUCUGCUCAUCAUUCAUGCCUCAGCUUGGGUGCCACUUCCUCCAGGAAGUAGUUUCUGAUUUUCUUGAUUCUGAUUAUGCCCAUCCUCCGUGUGUCCCUUUGAUGGUCUCUCCUGGAGGGCAGGGACCAUAUGCCAUUCAUCUUUGUUUCUUUUGAGCCUAUGAUGGUGCUUGGCAUAGAACAGAGGUCAGCAAAUAGUGUUUGAUGAAUGAAUGUAUGCAUACAACUGGACAGUGUCUAGGGUUAAACAUUAAAAGUGAGUGCAUUUUAAAAAGGUAUUUAGAUGUGUAAAAGAUGAAAGCAAGAGUUAACUAGAGGCAUAAGGUGAUGCUUUUGAAUCCUGAUCUUUCACACACUGAGACCAUGUCCUGAACCACCAGGGAAGCUAAGUGGUCUUUGUUAAGACUUUGCUAGAGUGGGUUUAGGAGCUCCAGGGAGGAGGAACUGAGUUAUAAAGAUCAGAGGAGAAGGGGCAGGUGAGGUAUAGCCUGACCCUCUUUUUGUGCUUUCUUGAUAACACCCUGCCCUGAGGGUCGCUCUCCAGCCAUCUAUAGUCUCUCUGCCCCUUUAAUUCUGCUUAUAGUCUAGACUGUGUUCCAAGGCACAUGAUUAACAGCCCUCCCACCACCCUCUCCCCACUGCCUUUAAAUGCGACCGCACUACCACUCACCUAAACCCGACAGAAAAAAAAUACAGUCCUGUCACAAUCUUGUGGCAAGCUAGAUCUCCCAGCAUUAAAUCACUGUUAAGGGCCUCUGUGAAUUUGAUAGCAGCUUUAAGGUUUUUUUUUUCCCCCCCUUUUCUCCCAUUUAAAACUCAGCUAAAGCUUUCCUGCUAUGGGCGGGUGAUGCUAUAAAGACAACUAUCUCCUACCCUCUUCUCCACAGGUGCACUUAAACUGUAAUCAUUCCUCAAGGGGGAGAAGUAUAGAGACUUCUAGCAAAGCCCCAUUCAGGCAGAGCGGCCUCUGCUUUCUGAGCUGUUGGCAGAGGAGGAGAAUGUGAUGUUGGCAUCCGGCAUCUACACAGCCAUUUGUGAAAUGCUUUCACUUAGGUAUCUCAUUGGACUCUAACAGGAAUUUUGCUAAAAGUAGUAUUUAUUAUGCCUAUUUUAAAGAUAAGGAAACCGGAGUUCCCAUCAUGGCUCUGCAAUUAACAAACCCAACUAGUAUCCACGACGAUGCGGAUUCGAUCCCUGGCCUCACUCAGUGGGUUAAGGACCUGGCGUUGCCCUGAACUAUGAUGUAGGUUGCAGAUGUGGCUCAGAUCCAGUGUUGCUGUGGCUCUGGCAUAGGCCAGCAGCUACAGCUCUGAUUGGACCCCUAGCCUGGAACUCCAUAUGCCAUGAGUGUGGCCCUAAAAAGACAAAAAAAAAAAAAAA
rnacentral:lncRNA from 1 species